rnacentral:lncRNA from 1 species
GGGGGAGAAAAUUGCUCAAGGCUUCUUAUUGGAAGAGGAUCACUACUGCAAGGAGCUAAGACCCAGGCCUCCCAACAGGGUUCAUUAUACCCACGAUAGCCACAUCUCCACAUAUAGAUCUUUCUAAAUUCAAAAUAAGACAGGACUUUGAAGGAAUUGAUUAGGGUUGUGUGCACAAAGCUUCCUAUUGGCAAAUACAUUACACAGGUGGAGGGUACCCUCCACGACUCGGGCCCUGGGUUGUCCUGGGUGAUGUGCUUGUAGUAGUUUCUCUCUAGCUGUCUCUCCCUAAGAAUCAUUAAUACUGACUUCACUAUCCUGAGCUUCUACAUAAAUAACUCUGCUCUUCCUGGGCCCACCCCAGAGCUCCUUUUUUUUUCCCUCAGCUCACCUCCACUUGCCUCAUCCAAAGGGAGUCGCCGAUACCAGCUGGGCAUCAUCCACCUGUGCAUCCCAGCCUCCUGGGGCACAGUGUCCCCUUCAGGAGGCUUUUGCACAGACUGUCCCUUUGCCUGGGCAACUCCUCAGCAUCCUUCAAGAUUCAACUUGGGAUCCUCUCCUCUGAGAAGAAGACAAGUCUCCCCUGUGCUCACCACCCUCCCCCUCUGCAGUUGGGAUGAAGAACCACUUCUGGGGGCUCUCCCAGUGCUUGGGUUUCCACAUGCACAGUGAGUACACUCAUCUGUCUCCUUACUGGCCCCUCCCCACAUGCACACUCAGGUCUGCACACCUUAAAGGCAGAGAUGAUGUCUACUUUACCUCUGUGCCUUAUUUUGACUCGAGUUCGGAAAUUUUGUGUUAAGUAGAGGAGGAAAGGAAUGACAUCCCUCUAGGGCUUCAAGUGAGAGAGCCAAUAGAAAGCAUAACACGGGGAGAGAGGACAAGAUAGCGGAGGAGUAGGGGGACACGCUCGCCCUCUCCCACAAACACAACAAAAAAAGCACAUCUACAGAAUAAAUGACUUGCACAGAACAGCAAUCAAUCGCUGGCAGAGGAACCUAAACUCCAAUAACGGCAAAGAAGUUCGUGACAUUACUGGGCAGAACAGGAGAAGAGAGGAGAGUGAGAGAAGGUGAAUCUGAGCGGGAUGGGCGCUCCCGAAAGGGAACUGCGGAGGAGAAAGGGAUCCCGCACCCUGGAAAGUCACCUACACGGGGGAAAGAUCAAACGAACCGGAGGAAUCUCCAGAUGCAGAGAAGAGUGUAGCAGU